AUUGAACGCUGGCGGCAGGCCUAACACAUGCAAGUCGAACGAGUGGCGGACGGGUGAGUAAUGUCUGGGAAACUGCCCGAUGGAGGGGGAUACCUACUGGAAACGGUAGCUAAUACCGCAUACCAUCGGAUGUGCCCAGCUGGGAUUAGCGAGUAGGGGGGGUAACGGCUCACCUAGGCGACGAUACCUAGCUGGUCUGAGAGGAUGACCAGCCACACGGGAAAUGAGACACGGUCCAGACUGCUACGGGAGGCAGCAGUGGGGAAUAUUGCACAAUGGGCGCAAGCCUGAUACAGCCAUGCCGCGUGUAUGAAGAAGGCCUGCGGGGUGUAAAGUACUGUCAGCGAGGAGGCGUUACCCGCAGAAGAAGCACCGGCUAACUCCGUGCCAGCCGCCGCGGUAAUUC
rnacentral:rRNA from 1 species